CAGCCGCCGCGGUAAUACGGAGGGGGCUAGCGUUGUUCGGAAUUACUGGGCGUAAAGCGCACGUAGGCGGCUUGGUAAGUUAGAGGUGAAAGCCCAGGGCUCAACCCUGGAAUUGCCUUUAAGACUGCCGAGCUAGUAGGUGAGAGAGGUAAGCGGAAUUCCGAGUGUAGAGGUGAAAUUCGUAGAUAUUCGGAAGAACACCAGUGGCGAAGGCGGCUUACUGGCUCAUUCUAGACGCUGAGGUGCGAAAGCGUGGGGAGCAAACAGGAUUAGAUACCCCAGUAGUCCCUGUCUCUUAUAA
rnacentral:rRNA from 1 species